rnacentral:rRNA from 1 species
UACGUAGGGUGCGAGCGUUGUCCGGAAUUAUUGGGCGUAAAGAGCUUGUAGGCGGUUUGUUGCGUCGGCUGUGAAAUCCCGAGGCUCAACCUCGGGUCUGCAGUCGAUACGAGCAGGCUAGAGUUCGGUAGGGGAGACUGGAAUUCCUGGUGUAGCGGUGAAAUGCGCAGAUAUCGUGGAGAACACCCGUGGCGAAGGCGGGCUUCUGGCUAAUGACUGACGCUGAGGUGCGAAAGCUAGGGGAGCGAACGGG